UAAGAACCAAUAUUAGAAGGAGCAGAC
rnacentral:piRNA from 1 species